UCCGGCAGCUAGCUCUCUGCAACUCUCACAUGUUCGCCCACUGAAGUUAAGCAGGGCUGCGCCCGGUCAGUACUUAAAUGGGAGACCACAUGGGAAAACUAGGUAGCUGCUGGAA
rnacentral:rRNA from 1 species